rnacentral:rRNA from 1 species
CGGGACGGGUGAGUAAUGUCUGGGAAACUGCCUGAUGGAGGGGGAUAACUGCUGGAAACGGUAGCUAAUACCGCAUAACGUCGCAAGACCAAAGAGGGGGACCUUCGGGCCUCUUGCCAUCGGAUGUGCCCAGAUGGGAUUAGCUAGUAGGUGGGGUAACGGCUCACCUAGGCGACGAUCCCUAGCUGGUCUGGGAGGAUGACCAGCCACACUGGAACUGAGACACGGUCCAG